AUGGAACGCUGGCGGCAUGCUUUACACAUGCAAGUCGAACGGUAACAGGGUGCUUGCACCGCUGACGAGUGGCGAACGGGUGAGUAAUGCGUCGGAACGUGCCGAGUAGUGGGGGAUAACGCAGCGAAAGUUGUGCUAAUACCGCAUACGUACUGAGGUAGAAAGUGGGGGACCUUCGGGCCUCACGCUAUUCGAGCGGCCGACGUCUGAUUAGCUAGUAGGUGAGGUAAAGGCUCACCUAGGCGACGAUCAGUAGCGGGUCUGAGAGGAUGAUCCGCCACACUGGGACUGAGACACGGCCCAGACUCCUACGGGAGGCAGCAGUGGGGAAUUUUGGACAAUGGGCGAAAGCCUGAUCCAGCCAUGCCGCGUGUCUGAAGAAGGCCUUCGGGUUGUAAAGGACUUUUGUCAGGGAGGAAAUCCCUAGUGCUAAUAACACUGGGGGAUGACAGUACCUGGAGAAUAAGCACCGGCUAACUACGUGCCAGCCGCCGCAGUAA
rnacentral:rRNA from 1 species